rnacentral:rRNA from 1 species
AUCCUGGCUCAGGAUGAACGCUAGCUACAGGCUUAACACAUGCAAGUCGAGGGGAAACGAUAUUGGAAGCUUGCUUCCGAUAGGCGUCGACCGGCGCACGGGUGAGUAACGCGUAUCCAACCUGCCCAUCACUUGGGGAUAACCUUGCGAAAGUAAGACUAAUACCCAAUGACGUCUCUAGAAGACAUCUGAAAGAGAUUAAAGAUUUAUCGGUGAUGGAUGGGGAUGCGUCUGAUUAGCUUGUUGGCGGGGUAACGGCCCACCAAGGCGACGAUCAGUAGGGGUUCUGAGAGGAAGGUCCCCCACAUUGGAACUGAGACACGGUCCAAACUCCUACGGGAGGCAGCAGUGAGGAAUAUUGGUCAAUGGACGAGAGUCUGAACCAGCCAAGUAGCGUGCAGGAAGACGGCCCUAUGGGUUGUAAACUGCUUUUAUAAGGGAAUAAAGUGAGUCUCGUGAGACUUUUUGCAUGUACCUUAUGAAUAAGGACCGGCUAAUUCCGUG